AUCAAAAACAUAGCUUAAUGGUGCUUUAUAUUAAGUUAAUUCUGCUCAGUGACUAGUUUAACAGCCGCAGUACACUGACUGUGCUAAGGUAGCAUAAUAAGUUGGCUUAUAAUUGAAGUCUAGUAUGAACGAAAUUUAAUGGGUGGUAACUGUCUCUUUAUUUUUUUACUGAAUUUACUUAGAUGGUGAAAAUUCCAUCAGUAAGAAGAAAGACGAGAAGACCCUUAGAAUUUUUAUUAAAGUGACUUCCUCUUCAUUUGUAUUAGCUGGGGCGGCUUUGUGUCAAAUUUAACACACAUUUUUAUUAAAAAACAUAAAAAUUUUAUUUUAUUAGGUUAAUUACCUAAGGGAUAACAGCAUAAUCUUUUUUUUGGUUUGUGACCUCGAUGUUGGAUUAGGAUCUGCUCUGGUUAGCCGCCAAAGCAGAAAGUUCUGUUCGAACUGUAUCACCUACAUGAUCUGAGU
rnacentral:rRNA from 1 species